GAUGAACGCUAGCGGCAGGCCUAAUACAUGCAAGUCGAGGGGUAUGGGUUGCUUGCAACCCAGAGACCGGCGCACGGGUGCGUAACGCGUAUGCAAUCUACCUUAAUCAGGGGGAUAGCCCGGAGAAAUCCGGAUUAACACCGCAUAACAUUGAGUUGUGGCAUCACAGUUCAAUCAAAUAUUUAUAGGAUUAAGAUGAGCAUGCGUGACAUUAGUUAGUUGGUGAGGUAACGGCUCACCAAGACCACGAUGUCUAGGGGAUCUGAGAGGAUGACCCCCCACACUGGUACUGAGACACGGACCAGACUCCUACGGGAGGCAGCAGUAAGGAAUAUUGGUCAAUGGGCGCAAGCCUGAACCAGCCAUGCCGCGUGCAGGAAGACGGCCCUAUGGGUUGUAAACUGCUUUUGUACCGGAAUAAACCUUCUCUUGCGAGAGAAGCUGAACGUACGGUAAGAAUAAGGAUCGGCCAACUCCGUG
rnacentral:rRNA from 1 species